CACUGUUGAGUGCAGACGGAGAGCCGGUGUCAAAAGGCUGGAGAGGAGCUCAGACGUGAAGGCAUGAUGUGUGUGAUGCUGAAGAGCCGAAGGAAAUGGGAUAGUGCCAAGGGAGACUUCUGGAGCCACUGGAGACUUCCGGGUGCGGGGAGCUCAAAGAGCUGCCCCCAUGGAAAUGAAGUUUAGUUUAUAAACUGAUUGAAUUGGGGAAAGCCCAGUGGGGCUCCACCCAUCCUUCUCUCGGGCUUCCUGCAAGAAGCAAGAGCAGGAAGCAGUUAACAGAAGCUUUGUAAACUCUGAACUCAGACUCUGUGCUAGGACCCGCGGCUGCGCGGGUUUCACAGGAAAGUUAGAUGACGACACGGUCUUGCUUCUCCUUUCCAGUCACCCUCAAAGAGUCCAAGGAAGUAAGCCUUCCCGUAUCUUGUUCUCGGUUGAAGGACCCGUUGAAGCCCCUCUAUUCCUAAGGAAGAAAAGAAAAACCGUUCUCCAGGAGAUGAUCUGAAAGAGUCAAGCUUUGGAUUCUAUAUGUCUUGAAGCCGUCAUUUGAGUGACCCUUGCCCUUGUGCAUUAAGAAUUCUCCAGCAGGAAACUGAACAGUAUUGAUUAGAUUUGAAGAUAUGGCUGGAGAGUAGGCUCGUCAGUUAAGGUUAUAUACCACUCUUGCAGAGGACUGAGUUCAGGUCCCAGCACCCACAAUGCCUGAGACUCUUGCUUUGGGAAUCCAAGUUAUCUGCCUGUACCUACAUACCCCGCACCCCAAGACACAUACACCUACGCAUAAUUAAAAAUAAAUCUUUUUAAAAAACU
rnacentral:lncRNA from 1 species